AUUGAACGCUGGCGGCAUGCCUUACACAUGCAAGUCGAACGGCAGCACGGGAGCAAUCCUGGUGGCGAGUGGCGAACGGGUGAGUAAUAUAUCGGAACGUGCCCAGUAGUGGGGGAUAACUGCUCGAAAGAGCAGCUAAUACCGCAUACGACCUGAGGGUGAAAGGGGGGGAUCGCAAGACCUCUCGCUAUUGGAGCGGCCGAUAUCAGAUUAGCUAGUUGGUGGGGUAAAGGCCUACAAAGGCAACGAUCUGUAGUUGGUCUGAGAGGACGACCAGCCACACUGGGACUGAGACACGGCCCAGACUCCUACGGGAGGCAGCAGUGGGGAAUUUUGGACAAUGGGCGCAAGCCUGAUCCAGCAAUGCCGCGUGCAGGAAGAAGGCCUUCGGGUUGUAAACUGCUUUUGUCAGGGAAGAAAUCCUCUAGGUUAAUACCCUUGGGGGGAUGACGGUACCUGAAGAAUAAGCACCGGCUAACUACGUGCCAGCCGCCGCCGUAACAC
rnacentral:rRNA from 1 species